GACGGAGGAUGCAAGCGUUAUCCGGAAUUAUUGGGCGUAAAGCGUCCGCAGGUGGCUGUUCAAGUCUGCUGUCAAAGCGCAGAGCUUAACUCUGUACAGGCGGUGGAAACUGAAGAGCUAGAGUAUGGUAGGGGUAGAGGGAAUUCCCGGUGUAGCGGUGAAAUGCGUAGAUAUCGGGAAGAACACCAGUGGCGAAAGCGCUCUACUGGGCCAUAACUGACACUGAGGGACGAAAGCUAGGGUAGCAAACGGG
rnacentral:rRNA from 1 species